UACGGAGGGAGCUAGCGUUGUUCGGAAUUACUGGGCGUAAAGCGCACGUAGGCGGCUUUGUAAGUUAGAGGUGAAAGCCCGGGGCUCAACUCCGGAAUUGCCUUUAAGACUGCAUCGCUUGAAUCAUGGAGAGGUGAGUGGAAUUCCGAGUGUAGAGGUGAAAUGCGUAGAGAUGCGGAGGAACACCGAUGGCGAAGGCAGCCCCCUGGGCUAGCACUGACGCUCAGGCACGAAAGCGUGGGGAGCAAACAGG
rnacentral:rRNA from 1 species